UGUAAAUGCACCUAAAUGGCACUGACUUGUAUUCGGUUGUUAAGUGGUGACGUAAGAAGCGCUGUUUCCGGGUCCAAGCCUCAACUCACUUCACUUGAGAAUACAACCUCAGCAGCCGUUUAUGAGCACUGUUUAUUUAUAUUAAACAUUUAAGCUAAACGUUUUCAAACUUACGGUCUACACUACAGUCUCCAUGCUCACAGCAUCUCAAACACAAAUAAUUUUUAUAUUUAUUUAUUUAUAUUUAUAUUUUCAUUGUCUGGCUAUCUGGGAUUUCGGUGUGGAGUUAAAGGUUAGGAUUAUAUUGUUUUUGGUAGUAUUAUAUCACAUUGUGAGUGUAUAUUAGCACCUUUUGUUGUUUUCUCGUGGUAUCUGAUAGAGCGUUUGGACACGGAAGCGGUGACACGUGACGUCAGACUUAACAA